rnacentral:rRNA from 1 species
UGCAAGUCGAACGGCAGCGCGGGCUUCGGCCUGGCGGCGAGUGGCGGACGGGUGAGUAAUGCAUCGGAACGUGCCCAGGAGUGGGGGAUAACGUAGCGAAAGUUACGCUAAUACCGCAUACGUACUGAGGUAGAAAGCGGGGGAUCGAAAGACCUCGCGCUCAUGGAGCGGCCGAUGUCGGAUUAGCUAGUUGGUGAGGUAAAAGCUCACCAAGGCGACGAUCCGUAGCUGGUCUGAGAGGACGACCAGCCACACUGGGACUGAGACACGGCCCAGACUCCUACGGGAGGCAGCAGUGGGGAAUCUUGGACAAUGGGGGAAACCCUGAUCCAGCAAUGCCGCGUGUGGGAUGAAGGCCCUCGGGUUGUAAACCACUUUUGGCAGGAAAGAAAUCGCCUGUGCUAAUACCAUGGGCGGAUGACGGUACCUGCAGAAUAAGCACCGGCUAACUACGUGCCAGCAGCCGCGGUAAUACGUAGGGUGCGAGCGUUAAUCGGAAUUACUGGGCG